UUUCCGUAGGUGAACCUGCGGAAGGAUCAUUAACGAGUUAGGGUCUUCUAGGCCCGACCUCCCAACCCUAUGUUUAUUGAACCUCUGUUGCUUCGGCGGACCCGUCUCAUGACCGCCGGAGGACCGCCGAAAGGCGUCCUCUGGCCAGCGUCCGCCGAUGGCCAACCACUUAAAACUCUGAAUGAAUCGUGUCAUAUGUCUAAGUCUAUGAUUAAAUUAAAGCAAAACUUUCAACAACGGAUCUCUUGGUUCUG
rnacentral:misc_RNA from 1 species